GAGUAAUGUCUGGGAAACUGCCUGAUGGAGGGGGAUAACUACUGGAAACGGUGGCUAAUACCGCAUAACGUCGCAAGACCAAAGAGGGGGACCUUCGGGCCUCUUGCCAUCAGAUGUGCCCAGAUGGGAUUAGCUUGUUGGUGAGGUAACGGCUCACCAAGGCGACGAUCCCUAGCUGGUCUGAGAGGAUGACCAGCCACACUGGAACUGAGACACGGUCCAGACUCCUACGGGAGGCAGCAGUGGGGAAUAUUGCACAAUGGGCGCAAGCCUGAUGCAGCCAUGCCGCGUGUAUGAAGAAGGCCUUCGGGUUGUAAAGUACUUUCAGCGGGGAGGAAGGUGUUGUGGUUAAUAACCGCAGCAAUUGACGUUACCCGCAGAAGAAGCACCGGCUAACUCCGUGCCAGCAGCCGCGGUAAUACGGAGGGUGCAAGCGUUAAUCGGAAUUACUGGGCGUAAAGCGCACGCAGGCGGUCUGUCAAGUCGGAUGUGAAAUCCCCGGGCUCAACCUGGGAACUGCAUUCGAAACUGGCAGGCUUGAGUCUUGUAGAGGGGGGUAGAAUUCCAGGUGUAGCGGUGAAAUGCGUAGAGAUCUGGAGGAAUACCGGUGGCGAAGGCGGCCCCCUGGACAAAGACUGACGCUCAGGUGCGAAAGCGUGGGGAGCAAACAGGAUUAGAUACCCUGGUAGUCCACGCCGUAAACGAUGUCUACUUGGAGGUUGUGCCCUUGAGGCGUGGCUUCCGGAGCUAACGCGUUAAGUAGACCGCCUGGGGAGUACGGCCGCAAGGUUAAAACUCAAAUGAAUUGACGGGGGCCCGCACAAGCGGUGGAGCAUGUGGUUUAAUUCGAUGCAACGCGAAGAACCUUACCUGGUCUUGACAUCCACGGAAGAAUUCAGAGAUGGAUUUGUGCCUUCGGGAACCGUGAGACAGGUGCUGCAUGGCUGUCGUCAGCUCGUGUUGUGAAAUGUUGGGUUAAGUCCCGCAACGAGCGCAACCCUUAUCCUUUGUUGCCAGCGGUCCGGCCGGGAACUCAAAG
rnacentral:rRNA from 1 species